UUGCAGCGCUGGCCGUACUCCCGUUUUGUCUCGGGUGUAGAGGAUCCAGCGCUGGUAAUCAAGUAUAGACACUUACCAGCGCUUUUCUUGACCUCCGUGGAAUAAGCAGGUAUCCCAGCAUACCUGAGGAAGCCUCUGGUAAUCAAGCUGGUCUCCUUCCCCGGUUUGCUCUCGCGUUCCCCAAACCCCGAGCAAGCAGGUCUCCUUCCCUGCGGUUUGCAGGGUGGUUCGGGGAACGCGAGAGCAAACCGCGGCGAAGCUGGUCUCCUUUCCCGGUUUGCUCUCUCGUUCCCCGAACCCCCGAGCAAGCAGGUCUCCUUCCCUGCGGUUUGCAGGGUGGUUUGGGGAACGCGAGAGCAAACCGCGGCGAAGCUGGUCUCCUUUCCCGGUUUGCUCUCUCGUUCCCCAAACCCCCGAGCAAGCAGGUCUCCUUCCCUGCGGUUUGCAGGGUGGUUCGGGGAACGCGAGAGCAAACCGCGGCGAAGCUGGUCUCCUUUCCCGGUUUGCUCUCGCGUUCCC